CCUACGGGUGGCAGCAGUGGGGAAUAUUGGGCAAUGGGCGCAAGCCUGACCCAGCAACGCCGCGUGAAGGAAGAAGGCUUUCGGGUUGGAAACUUCUUUUCUCACAGACGUAGCAAGUGACGGUACCUGAGGUAUAAGCGACGGCUACCUACGUGCCUGCAGCCGCGGUAAGACGUAGGGGGCAAGCGUUAUCCGGAUUUACUGGGUGUAAAGGGAGGGUAGGCGGGAAAGCAAGUCAGAUGUGAAAACCAGUGGCUCAACAUGUGGCCUGCAUUUGAAACUGUGGUUCUGGAGUACUGGAGAGGCAGACGGAAUUCCUAGUGUAGCGGUGAAAUGCGUAGAUAUUAGGAGGAACACCAGUGGCGAAGGCGGCUCUCUGGUCUGGAACUGACGCUGAGGCUCGAAAGCAUGGGUAGCGAACAGGAUUAGAUACCCCUGUAGUC
rnacentral:rRNA from 1 species